rnacentral:lncRNA from 1 species
AUGGGUAAAAUGUUAUUACCCCCCCCCAAAAAAAAUCUGGUAUCUGCAUCAGAUUUGUCUCUUGUGUUUCCAUGUUGUGAAAACUUCUCAGCAGGUGACGCUGAUCCUUCUCUCCAGUCACAGACUCAGAUGGAUGAUGCUUCUGGUCAAACCAAGUCUCCUCAACAGGAGAACAGUAUUGCUGCUAAUAGCAGAGCAGCAGGUGACUCUGAUCCUUCUCUCCAGUCACAGACUCAGAUGGAUGAUGCUUCUGGUCAAACCAAGUUUCCUCAACAGCCGAUGUGGCACUUCCUUCUACCGAGAGGAAUAUGUCACCACCUCACAAAAGAGGCAAACCAUCAUCAGAUGUGCAGAUGCCUUCAGGAGCCAGUGCUAUGAGACCGCCUCACAAAGGUGAACUCUUUACACAUUUCUCUUUUGUAUGUCUGUUGUUUUCUGUAGAAUUAAAUUCAACUAGAAUUGCCUAAAUGUUGCAGUAGCAGCCACAUAGUAAAAAGAUAAAUAAAAGAAUGCUCAUUUUAAUCACUGAUAAGCUUAUAUCUGUUUGUCAUUUUAUCCCUGAAAAAAUCAAAAUUCAUGCCUCUUUCAUUUCAAAGCCACCAGUUAGCCUCCUCUGUCAGCUGUGAAUAAAUAAACAUAAGAUGACACACAUGUAAUGUUUUGCACACGUUUAAUGUGCUCUCCUGCUUGCAUUGCAUAGUGUCUCUAGAGAGGGUCGUAGAUCCUUCUGAAAUACAUAAAUGCACAAUCUCUGGCAAGAAAACCAACACCAUUUUUUAUGGUAUGACAUUUCUAAAAAUUGUUUUUUUUUUUAGGUUUGUUUUUUUUUUUUUUUAGUUUAGUUUAAACUUAGUAAUAAAUAAACAUAAGAUGACACACAUGUAAUGUUUUGCACACGUUUAAUGUGCUCUCCUGCUUGCAUUGCAUAGUGUCUCUAGAGAGGGUCGUAGAUCCUUCUGAAAUACAUAAAUGCACAAUCUCUGGCAAGAAAACCAACACCAUUUUUUUAUGGUAUGACAUUUCAAAAUGUUUUUUUUUUUGGUGUUUUUUUUUUUUUUGUAAUUAACUGAAAAUAUUGAAGUUGCUGAUUUUGCUCUCUCUUCUUUCUCUUCUCUCUCCCCACAAUUCAAAAAAUUACUACAGACCCCUAGUUAUAAUCAUAUGUAUUUAGUCACUAAUUCCUGAGCGAAAUCAUUCAUCUAGUUACAAAAGUACCCCUUUUAUGCUUUCUCAGGUAUGACCUUUCAUGUAGUGUGUAAUAUAAAAGAUCAAAUGUAAAAAGAUCAAAGUGCAGACAAAUUAAAUGAUGGUCUCCCAAAAGAAAGAAACGAGUCAUCAGUAAUUCCAGACUUACUUCCUGCAUGAACCUGUUUAGGUUUGUAACAAAAGCCCAGCCUCUGGUUUUCAUUGGCUGUUUGCGAACGUGUAGUUAGACCUACUCUCAAACAACGGUAGAACCGACAACAGACUGGGACAUCUGACCAAUCAGAGCAGAGUAGAGUCUCGGUAAAGGAGGGUUUAGAGAGAUCGAAUCCUUGAACGGAUUCAGGAUUCAGAACUUUGGAUUGGAAUUCCAGCAUACUCGUAAUCAUUUCUUUUUUUUCUGAUCACUUUAAGGUAAAACUACCCAGAAGAAAGCUCCCUGGCAGCAGGCAGAGGUGCAGGCAGUGGAAAGGCACCUGAAGCCAUUCAUCAUAUCUGGCACUGUACCAGCAAAGAGUGACUGUGAGAAAUGCUUGAAAGCUGAACCAGAAGCUCUGAGGAACCGCGAUUGGAAGACCGUAAAAUUUUACGUUUAUAAUCGCAUUACAGCUUACAAAAAGAAAUUGCAGUGCAGAUAAUACUGUGAAGAUGCAACUAUCUGGCAUGGCAGGUUUUGUUUAAAUAAGUUGAGCCACAGCAACACUUAAAGAAAUAGAAUAUCUUUAUUGUUAAACCAGUGCAUAAAGGCCACAAGCUGAAAAGCAUUGGUCUAACAAAAGUUGUUCUACAGGGCAGUGGAAAGGCACCUGAAGCCAUUCAUCAUAUCUGGCACUGUACCAGCAAAGAGUGACUGUGAGAAAUGCUUGAAAGCUGAACCAGAAGCUCUGAGGAACCGCGAUUGGAAGACCGUAAAAUUUUACGUUUAUAAUCGCAUUACAGCUUACAAAAAGAAAUUGCAGUGCAGAUAAUACUGUGAAGAUGCAACUAUCUGGCAUGGCAGGUUUUGUUUAAAUAAGUUGAGCCACAGCAACACUUAAAGAAAUAGAAUAUCUUUAUUGUUAAACCAGUGCAUAAAGGCCACAAGCUGAAAAGCAUUGGUCUAACAAAAGUUGUUCUAAAGUUUUUGUUGAAAUCCAUGUCUGUGAAAGGAGGCAUGUGAGUUAU